GAUGAAGAACGCAGCGAAAUGCGAUAAGUAAUGUGAAUUGCAGAAUUCAGUGAAUCAUCGAAUCUUUGAACGCACAUUGCGCCCCCUGGUAUUCCGGGGGGCAUGCCUGUUCGAGCGUCAUUUCACCACUCAAGCCUCGCUUGGUAUUGGGCAACGCGGUCCGCCGCGUGCCUCAAAUCGACCGGCUGGGUCUUCUGUCCCUAAGCGUUGUGGAAACUUUCGCUAAAGGGUGUUCGGGAGGCUACGCCGUAAAACAACCCCAUUUCUAAGGUUGACCUCGGAUCAGGUAGGGAUACCGGCUGAACUUAAGCAUAUCAAUAAGCGGAGGA
rnacentral:misc_RNA from 1 species